GGAUUACGGCAUGCAAGUCGAGCGACGGGUCCUCCUUCGGGAGGAAGACCGAGCGGCGAAAGGGUGAGUAAUAUAUAGGCAACCUACCUUUGGGACGGGGAUAGCGUCGGGAAACCGGCGGUAAUACCCGAUGGCACAUGCGGGUCGCAUGACCUGCUUGUUAAAGGGGGGGGGAUCCUUCGGGACCUUCCGCCCGUGGAGGGGCCUAUAUCCUAUUAGCUUGUUGGUGGGGUAACGGCCUACCAAGGCGAUGAUGGGUAUCCGGGCUGAGAGGUCGACCGGUCACACUGGGACUGAGACACUGCCCAGACUUCUACGGAAGGCUGCAGUCGAGAAUCAUUCGCAAUGGGCGCAAGCCUGACGAUGCGACGCCGCGUGUAUGAUGACGGCCCUCGGGUUGUAAAGUGCUGUCAGGUGUUAAGAAAGGCGGUUGGCAGAAUACGCCGGCCGUUUGACAAAGGCACCAGAGGAAGCCACGGCUAAAUUCGUGCCAGCAGCCGCGGUAACACGAAUGUGGCAAGCGUUGUUCGGAAUUAUUGGGCAUAAAGGGCACGUAGGCGGAAGGGUAAGUUGGUGGUGAAAGCCCUCGGCUCAACCGAGGAAUUGCCUCCAAUACUGCCUUUCUGGAGUACAGGAGGGGAGAGUGGAACUCUUGGUGGAGCGGUGAAAUGCGUUGAUAUCAAGGGGAACGCCGGCGGCGAAAGCGGCUCUCUGGCCUGUUACUGACGCUGAGGUGCGAAAGCUAGGGGAGCAAACGGGAUUAGAUACCCCGGUAGUCCUAGCCGUAAACGAUGGGCACUAAGUAGAGGGAAUUA
rnacentral:rRNA from 1 species